rnacentral:rRNA from 1 species
UACGUAGGGGGCAAGCGUUGCCCGGAAUUAUUGGGCGUAAAGAGCGCGUAGGCGGUCCGAUAAGUCGGCUGUGAAAGUCAAGGGCUCAACCCUUGAAAGCCGGCCGAUACUGUCGGACUGGAGUCCGGAAGAGGCGAGUGGAAUUCCCGGUGUAGCGGUGAAAUGCGCAGAUAUCGGGAGGAACACCAAUGGCGAAGGCAGCUCGCUGGGACGGUACUGACGCUGAGGCGCGAAAGCGUGGGGAGCAAACAGG